UCAAUUGGCGCCCCGCCUCCCCCCCGGAGCAAAAUGGCGGUUCAGUGAGCCCGAGUGCGCCGUGCAUCAGCGAGGAGUCAUCCGAGUCAUCGGGCGAGACGGGGAGAUCGUCGUCGGUGGUGUUUCCUCGAUGAAUGCCGCAGCGGACUGACUCGCGUGUGCGACGCGCCCGCCCGAUAAUCGUCAACGUACAGAAUGCGCUUUUAUUGCCAUCUCGUCUGGGGCGUUUGGUGCAUCCUGCAAGUUACUGCCAGGGACUAUGUUAAACUGUCACACGACGGGCCAGUUGUGCUGGGUGGCACGAUCACGUUUAGAGCCGAUUUGUACAGAGAGGACGGCAGCCGACCACGGGGGACCUUCAGAUACAAAUGGACCGACGAUUCGUUAAUGAAACACGAAUAUCUGAGCAAAGACACGUCGAAUACAACAACAUUUUGGAGCAUAAGUUACCCGCGCAAUGGCAACAUUCCCGGAAACUACAUGGUGGAGGUGGAAGUUUCCUAUCUCAGCUUCUCGUUCUUUUGGAUGUUCGAUGCGAGCGCUCGUGUCGAGUUUGAAAUUUCUGAAUGUCUCAAUGGCAAUAUAACUGCGAAGCAGGCGAACAAAACCAUCACGGGCGAAUACAUCUCGUCCACAAACGAGACCAAAUUAAUGAUAGACCUGCGCCAGGGAGAUUACGACUUUGUGACGGAGAAAGCAACGGCGAUAUCGACAUACUGGUUUAUCGACUGCAAAUUCUACGGCCAGACAAAUGAUUUCGCUUUCGCCUACAAUUUUACGAGCCCCGGCGUAACGUACGAGCUGGGAGCUCUAGUGAUAGCUUCGUACGAUCCGCCGACGACCACAACCAUGUUGACACCCACAACUACGGCCGCGGCCACUAACGCGACGACAGUCCCGUCAAACGCUACCACGGCAAAUACCAAUGGGACUCGCGUCGCGGUUGCAACAUCACCGAUGACUGUUACGAGUACGGCGAGGCCACCGACGAAGCCUACGACAGCUGCGUCUCCAAUCGACGCGACCACGAUAGACAUUUCCAAUAGAUCGUUGCCGUACAUUUGCUCAAAUUCGUCCCUCAUUCCACCGGAUCCUAACAAAACGUACGGAUACUUCAGCAAGAACAUCCACGUUCGUGCUCCCGUGUCGAAUAUCUCGGUGGAAGGUACAAAUUGGAUCCAACCGUGGGACAUGCUGUCUUUGAACGUGACCUGCAAGGGGUCGGGCCCGUUUUCCAAGUGUCUUCUAUUUCACCGCGGAAAGUACAACGCGACGGGGAACGAAACGUGCGACAUUAUGGAGCAGUUGCGCUCCUGCAAUUUUUCCAUUGUCCACUAUUUCCUCGAGCCCAGUGUCUACACGAUAUUAAUCAUACUGAACAACGAAGUUAGUACGCAGGUUUAUCCGCUAACGAUAAACAUUUACAAAGUUACAACCAAACCGCAAUUGUCGGUUAUCGUCGUGCCAGUCUCUUGCUCAGUCGUUGCCGUAGUGCUGAUAGUGUUUGGCGUUGCGUAUUACAUUCAAAGCAGAGCAAGAUUCACGAUAGAAGUCGCGGACUUCGAUUUUGGGCAAAGUAAUCCAGAGAUGGAGUACAAAACGUUUACGGAACGUUUACGCGACUCGUUCAAUAACACUGUAAGACCUGGCAGCAAACGGCUACACGUACGCUAUUAUGGCAGCAUGAAUCACUGAAACAUACAGGCUGCGCGACAAGCUAUGUGACCUCUAUCGCCAUCUCACCUUUCUGGUUAUAAACCACUAAGCAAUCCACAGACGCUUCAGUGAUGCGUGAACGAGAAGCAACGUUCUCACGAAGCUCGUAACUGUAAAAUACCUUUCUGCGAGGAACGAGCGUAAACGAGAGUAAUGCGCCGAGCAGAAAUAUCCAUCGGCAGAUUCGACGGCACUGCUAACGAAGAGGUCUGUCCGAAUGUUCUGUGGUAAUAGUGGCAAUAGACACUGGGCAGUUUCGCUUAGAAGAAAGAUCGAUGGCGUUUGUAAAAAGUAAGAGGAAGAAGAGACAACGCUGCACACGAUUAAUUAUUAACCAACUAGCGAUUGAACAAAUCGAAAUUGUACAUAGAUGAGUAAAUUGAAUGAUAUGUAUAUAUAGGCUGUGAAUAUAUAGUACGCAACGGUGUAUUAGAGUCGCUCAUAAUAGGAUACGCAGGAGAGUUUUAUAUUUUUUAAAAAUCAC